GUGAACGCUGGCGGCGUGCUUCAGACAUGCAAGUCGAACGGGCUCUUCGGAGCCAGUGGCGCACGGGUGAGUAACGCGUAACUGACCUACCCCAAAGUCGCGGAUAACGAUUCGAAAGAAUCGCUAAUACGUGAUGUGCUGUCAGAUCCUGUUCUGCCAGUAAAGAUUUAUUGCUUUGGGAUGGGGUUGCGUUCCAUCAGCUAGUUGGUGGGGUAAAGGCCCACUAAGGCGACGACGGAUCGCCGGCCUGAGAGGGUGGCCGGCCACAGGGGCACUGAGACACGGGUCCCACUCCUACGGGAGGCAGCAGUUAGGAAUCUUCCACAAUGGGCGAAAGCCUGAUGGAGCGACGCCGCGUGAGGGAUGAAGGUCUUCGGAUCGUAAACCGCUGAAUCAGGGACGAAAGACGCGAAAGCGGGAUGACGGUACCUGAGUAAUAGCACCGGCUAACUCCGUG
rnacentral:rRNA from 1 species